ensembl:snoRNA
CUCCCUUUGUAGUUCCUAAGCCUGACGACUAGGUUUCCAUGCUCAUGUAGGAAGUGUGCCGCCCUCACACCGUGUCAGGACAUCAGUACAGUGUCCCCAUGUUA